GCAGGCUGCAACCCGCCCUGUAUGAAGUUGGAAUCGCUAGUAAUCGCGGAUCAGCAUGCCGCGGUGAAUACGUUCCCGGGCCUUGUACACACCGCCCGUCACACCAUGAGAGUCGGGAACACCCGAAGUCCGUAGUCUAACUUUCACGAGAGGACGCGGCCGAAGGUGGGUUCGAUAAUUGGGGUGAAGUCGUAACAAGGUAGC
rnacentral:rRNA from 1 species